UACGUAGGUGGCGAGCAUUAUUCGGAAUUACUGGGCGUAAAGGGUCCGCAGGGGGUUUACUUAGUCAGAUGUGAAAUUUCAGGGCUUAACUCUGAACGUGCAUUUGAAACUGGUAGACUAGAGUAUGUGAGAGGUGAGCGGAAUUUGUGGUGUAGCGGUGGAAUGCGUAGAUAUCACAAGGAAGGCCAAAGGCGAAAGCAGCUCACUGGCACAAUACUGACCCUCAGGGACGAAGGCUAAGGUAGCGAAAAGG
rnacentral:rRNA from 1 species